rnacentral:rRNA from 1 species
UACGAAGGGGGCUAGCGUUGUUCGGAUUUACUGGGCGUAAAGCGCACGUAGGCGGAUCUUUAAGUCAGAGGUGAAAUCCCAAGGCUCAACCUUGGAACUGCCUUUGAUACUGGGGAUCUUGAGUCCGGGAGAGGUGAGUGGAACUGCGAGUGUAGAGGUGAAAUUCGUAGAUAUUCGGAAGAACACCAGUGGCGAAGGCGACUUACUGGACACGUAUUGACGCUGAGGUGCGAAAGCGUGGGGGAGCAAACAGG